AAUGCUUAAUUUUCCAUGUUGUUUAGCGGCCACUUGUAAAAUAAAAUAAUAUUGAUUUAGCAUCCCUGAUUACCCAAAAGUAGCCUAGAUGCCAGCCGAUCCAAAGAGAUAUCAGUGAUGUGCUUAUCAUUAGUUCAUCAGUCAGAAGAUUUGUCAAAGCUCUUAUCAGAACCUCCAAUUCUAAAUAAUGCAUAAUUCCUUUAGCUAAAUAGAAUCAUGAUCAGGUUGAUAUCCUUCAGAUUUAACAUAAAAACAG
rnacentral:misc_RNA from 1 species